AUUGAACGCUGGCGGCAUGCCUUACACAUGCAAGUCGAACGGCAGCACGGGAGCAAUCCUGGUGGCGAGUGGCGAACGGGUGAGUAAUAUAUCGGAACGUGCCCAGUCGUGGGGGAUAACGUAGCGAAAGCUACGCUAAUACCGCAUACGAUCUACGGAUGAAAGCGGGGGAUCGCAAGACCUCGCGCGAUUGGAGCGGCCGAUAUCAGAUUAGCUAGUUGGUGAGGUAAAGGCUCACCAACGCGACGAUCUGUAGCUGGUCUGAGAGGACGACCAGCCACACUGGAACUGAGACACGGUCCAGACUCCUACGGGAGGCAGCAGUGGGGAAUUUUGGACAAUGGGCGCAAGCCUGAUCCAGCAAUGCCGCGUGCAGGAUGAAGGCCUUCGGGUUGUAAACUGCUUUUGUACGGAACGAAACGGUGAGCUCUAAUACAGUUUGCUAAUGACGGUACCGUAAGAAUAAGCACCGGCUAACUACGUGCCAGCAGCCGCCGUAA
rnacentral:rRNA from 1 species